CACUCGUCGCCUCCUCCCCUUCCAGAUCGCCGCCGCCACCUCCUUCCCCACCCCCUCCCCGCACUCGCAGCGGCUCCCACCCUCCCCGCACCCGCGCACGGCGCCGUUGGCUCCUCCACCUCCAGGCGACGCCGAGCCCGCGGUCUCCUUCCCCAAGAUCGCGCCGGAGCCCGCGGUCCUCCUCCACCUAUAGCUCGUCUCCUCUCCGGUCGCGCCGCCGACCUGUUCGUGGCCGAGCUUCGGCGAGCUGAGCAGCAGAGCUCUGACGGCUCCUCUUCUCCCCUUGCAGCCGCCUGCCGCGCCAACCUCCCUCCCUCCCUCCUCGCCAAUGAAACCCUAGCCAGCAGCCAUGGCUAGGGUUUGUGCAGUUUCUCCCCAUCCGAUCUGGUAGACCGCGCCGGCAAGCGACCAGGACGACGCCCGAAGAGGAGAGUAGGGCCUUCUCCUCACCGUGUAGCCACCGACCUUGUCCUGCUCGAGGAAGAGGAGCAGGAGGGGCGCACCCAGCCACCACAGUCGCCGCCGUCAAGGGCUUCUUCCACCUAGACCUGUAAAUCCACGGCGCCGUCGUCCAGCCACCCAAGGCGCUGCCGGAUUAGAACUAUACGGCUUAGCGGGUGGCCCUAUUUUGCCAUCGGGACAGGAGCUCUCAUCACUGACCCCUCUUCUCCACUACACGUGUUCAACAGAAAUUGUUUUAGUUUGUCAUACAUAAUUGACUAUGCUUAUGUUGGUUGUUAUUGAGUGUAUAAUUCAUUAUAUUAAUUAUUUGUUUUGAAGUAUAACUGAAACUUCAUAUAUGUAUUUACAUUCAUGGAAAGCAUAUAAUCAAUAUCUGGUCUGAUGAUUUAUGUACUGUUAUCUCAAAUAGAAAAGCAUAUAACAGUAGCAGUAGCACAAAUUUAACUGAAUUCAAUUAAAAUUUCCAGAAUCUCUUCUUGAUCUGUAAUGUUUUAGUGCAACAAAGUCAUACCGAGUGAGGUCCAUGUGGUGCUCUGAGAUGCUCUUGAUGGUUUGUUGUCAAGACUGAUAUCCCAUGUAUGUCAUGAUGCUGCUAGCUUGUUUCAGUCCAGUAUCUCUUCUUGAUAGUCUUGUUAACAUAAUUGAGUCCAGUAACUCUAAUUAAUUAACUGAAUUUAUUUGUUUAAUUGAAUUACAUUGAAACCUUUCCUUUAAUUAUAAUUAAAGAAGGGUUUCAGUUUAAUUAAAACUAAUGGAAACCUUUUCGGUUAAUCCUGUUGUUUACUGUAUUUGCAUGCUUGCAGGAAUGUGUCAAAUACUUGUUAUGUACAUGUAGUGGCACGAGAGUCAAGAUUUACUAGUGCUUGCCUUCUUGUGUUAUCUGGACACAUUGGUUAAUCUAAUUUUCUUGUGAUUUCCCAAUUCAAUAUCUAAGAAAUGAAUUUAUAGACUUUAAUGAAUUCAAUGUAUGAUCCUAAUGAGAAUUAUAUGAUAUCUACCUGUUUUUAUCCUUGACCAAUAUCAAUUGUGGUAGCUCUUAAGCGACACAUACUUUUUCUCGCUCCGAGUUCCUAAGCAUGGUAUUAUAUUUUUGUUAGCUAGAACAUGCCAUCUUUGAAUUUGCUGAACAUUAGUAGCUAACUAAGUUGUGCCCCAUUGAUGUCUCAAUUGUUACAUUACAUCUAAAAAAGUUAGCCUCAACUAACUGUGAAAUUUAGAAUGUUCAAAUUCAGAUCUUAAGUUCUCAAACUGGACCGGACUUAUAUAUACACAAAUCAGUACUAAAGUAGGUCUGUAUGGGUCUGUAUGAUCUCCUGUUAGUAAAAUUACAGCAUAAAUAACUUCCCAUGUAGUUCUGCUAUUUUUAGUUUGGGUUGAAGUGAUUGGUAGGCCUAGUGGUUGUGCGAUUCUAUGAUCCUAUCCUGUAAAACUUAUAUGCACACCUCAUAUGAAUCUGUGAUCACAUCCAGUGAAAUUUAUAUGCAUGUUCCACUCCACUGUCUACACAUUUACUUAGUAAUACAUACUUCUGCACUUCUGUUAUGCUUCUCACUUUGUUUGUAUGAGGCGGCCAGGCUGCCUAUUUUGUAGCAGUCUGCUUCCAUAGUGAUUGUAUGGAGUCGAGAUAAUUGUGUUUUCCUCGGCAGUAGGUCAGCAGACACCGCUCCUGCUAUAUAUGCUAAGCUGCCGCCAGUGUUUGUGCGAUGUUGCCGGCUUAGAGCAUCAUCUCCAAUAGUUGCUGCCUGUUGAUGUGGUUGUUGUGGUGUCAUGUGCUUCUCCUGAAUCUGUUGUAUGCUUAGCUGAUUAAACGUGCAGUUUUUUUAGUAUUUUGGUUGGUCUGAUGGUGUUUCUUUUUUUGGCUCAAGUGCUUAACUUAUGAGCUUAUGUUGAAGUGUGCUGAUUUUGCACUAUCGAAAUUGAUAGGAGAUACUAUGGAUGCAAGAUUCAUUGUUUGUUCUUGCUCACUAUGUGCUUAACUGAUGAUGAUUGUUGUUGUUAGAAAUUAUGAUUGCUUGUGUCUUAAUUUUUUUCUUCUGUAAUGAUGAUAUGAAAUAUCACGCAUGUCCUUAUUGGUGCUGCUGCUGUUGCUGUGGUUGUCGGAGGUGUUGCUGCCGCAUCUGGCGGAGCUGCAGUCCGAGAAGGUCAAGGAUAAGAUCAUCCUCGAUGGGAACGACAUUGAGCUUGUCUCCCGCUCUGUCGCCCUCAUCAACUAGGAGCUCCAGGCCUAAUCUUUUUGAGUGUGAAGCCAUGAAGCCAAGUGCGAAGCAGCGAAGCCCUACUUAGGAAGAGUUUUUUGGUUCUGUAGUAGACUAUAAAUUGUAAUUUUGUAACGGAUUGUAA
rnacentral:rRNA from 1 species